UAACACAAGAUUUUAGCUUUGAGUUUUCUUAUGAAAAAUUGAAAUUUAAUAUCUAAACCUUAUCAAAGAGAUGUUUCAAUCUAGAGAUUGAGAUUCUUUAAUGUUGUGUUGCCCGCCCCCCCCGGCAUAUUUGAAUCUGCAGCACUAUAGCUAGUUGUUUGUGAAGAAUUUAUAAACAAGAGCAAAGAUUUAUAUAUUUGCUUGGACUAGCUAUGAUUUUAGCAGAAGGCCCCACAAGGUAGGAAACGCACUCAGAUGCCUUUUUCAGAGCAGACCAAAAGGUGGUGGUCAGUGGAACACUGCCCCCUUGUGCUGGUGGUCAGCAAAUUCAAGAGGAACCACCCCUGAGAAUCACGGCCAUACGUUAUUGAUUCAGGAAAUAUCCAAUUCUUUAGUGUUAACUACUGGUGUUAGCUAUUUUUAGUACAGGGAUAGAUUUGUAUUGGGUGCUUCAUUUUUUUGUUUUGUAUUUUUGUAGACUUCAAGUCUUGAGCACCAAAAAAUGACUACAAUACAAAAGGCAAAACUGAAAACAGUGGAGAUCAUUCCAAGAAGCUAGACAGUCAUUUGGAGUGACUCUGUGCAAUAAGAAAGUGUUGUGUGUCACACAUCAAGUGUCAGAUGGCACUUUGACACCAACCACAAAGUGUUUCAGAACUUGGUGAAAUGAAAAGGAAAGAGUUUCUUGAGGGGAAAUUAAGGAAAUGUCAUUUCUAGUAUCUUAGUUUUUGUAACUUCUUUCUAAAACAAAUCAUCUGACAGCUGCCAGCUUUCAGAUUUCACUUUGCAUAGCAAAACAUGGUAAGCCUCUCUCUGGUGGGGACUUUGUCAAAAUGGCCAUGUUGUCUGGGAGUAAUUCCUUUUUCAUGUUUUCCCAAACGAGAGUAAAAUUAUACAUCGCAUCUCUGGGAUACCACUUAACAGAAAUACUGUUACAGAUUGAGUCCUGUGCAUGGCAAGUGAUGCUCAUCAGCAUCUCACCACUGACUUACAAAAGGCAACCUGGUACUCCCUGUGCUUGGAUGAAAGCACAGGCAUAAAUAAUCAUGCAAGGCUAGCAGUAAUUUUUCAGUGUGCUGCUGGUGACAUCAUGAGAGAAGAGCGGUGAAACUGGUAGCAUUGCCUGGAAGAACACAAGAUAAAGCCAAAUUUGAAGACCUUGAUAUUUUCUGCUUACACUGGUUAGAUUUUGGAAAUCUGGAAAUGGAGCUAUUGGAAUUUCAAGAACGCUGUAUCUGGAAAAAUGAACUCUAUGACCUGCGUGCAACACUUGAGAAGACAGAGUGUGAAGGGGGACAGAGGACGGCACAGUCGGUAGUUCUGAAAAUGAAAUCCUUGACUUGUGGGAUUCUCUGCCAAAUAAUUUUAAGUCAAUGAAAGCACUUGGGAUUGCUUUCUGUACUUUGUUUGGAUCAUCUCAUGCUGUAAGCAGCUAUUUUCAGCUUGGAAUGAUAUCAAAUCUGAUAUAAGAACAGACUAACGGGUGACCUAAGUCCUGCGUGUGUUGCUGUCAAAUUAACAAAGUGUGAUCCAAGGUUUGACAUGUUUUCAGCGUGCACACAGCAGCAAGAUCCCCUUCUUGUGCAAAAGCACGUGGAAUGCUGUUACCUUUUGGUAAAAAGCUGUUUGUAUCAUUGAAAACUCUGUAUUACGUUUUUGUUAAGACAAAAGAUGUUAACAUAUGAGUUAUUUUUUCUAAACUAAAACCUCAGUAUUCAGAUUUAAUUGCAGUGUUGGCACUUUGCAUCAAGUGGGUUUUGGAUUGCAGUUUGGAUGUUCGGUCUCUAAAAGGUUCGCCAUCACUGCCUUAGCAGUUGAAGAAGAAGGAACCACCACCCUGCGCCUGUCCUCUGGACUCUGUUGAUUCCUAGAGAGAACCAAGAAGCAGCUCUUGUAAGGUUUACUCCCAACUCCUAUUCCUGAUCAGGAUAUUAUUAAG
rnacentral:lncRNA from 1 species